rnacentral:rRNA from 1 species
UGGGGAAUUUUGGACGAAUGGGCGAAAGCCUGAUCCAGCAAUGCCGCGUGUGUGAAGAAGGCCUUCGGGUUGUAAAGCACUUUUGUCCGGAAAGAAAUCCUUGGCUCUAAUACAGUCGGGGGAUGACGGUACCGGAAGAAUAAGCACCGGCUAACUACGUGCCAGCAGCCGCGGUAAUACGUAGGGUGCAAGCGUUAAUCGGAAUUACUGGGCGUAAAGCGUGCGCAGGCGGUUUGCUAAGACCGAUGUGAAAUCCCCGGGCUCAACCUGGGAACUGCAUUGGUGACUGGCAGGCUAGAGUAUGGCAGAGGGGGGUAGAAUUCCACGUGUAGCAGUGAAAUGCGUAGAGAUGUGGAGGAAUACCGAUGGCGAAGGCAGCCCCCUGGGCCAAUACCGACGCUCAUGCACGAAAGCGUGGGGAGCAAACAGGAUUAGAUACCCCUGGUAGUCCACGCCCUAAAACGAUGUCAACUAGUUGUUGGGGAUUCAUUUCCUUAGUAACGUAGCUAACGCGUGAAGUUGACCGCCUGGGGAGUACGGUCGCAAGAUUAAAACUCAAAUGGAAUUGACGGGGUCAUAGCUGUUUCC